ACGGGAGGCAGCAGCUAAGAAUAUUCCGCAAUGGACGAAAGUCUGACGGAGCGACGCCGCGUGGGUGAUGAAGGCCGAAAGGUUGUAAAAUCCUUUUGAAUGGGAAGAAUAAGCAGGGUAGGAAAUGACAUUGUGGUGACGGUACAGUGUGAAUAAGCAACGGCUAAUUACGUGCCAGCAGCCGCGGUAACACGUAAGUUGCGAGCGUUGUUCGGAAUUAUUGGGCGUAAAGGGCAUGUAGGCGGUUAUCUAAGCUUGGUGUGAAAGGCAGGGGCUCAACUUCUGGACUGCAUUGAGAACUGGAUGACUAGAGUUACUGAAGUGGAAUCAGAAUUCCGGGUGUAGGGGUGAAAUCUGUAGAUAUCUGGAAGAAUACCAAUGGCGAAGGCAGGUUACCAGCAGAUGACUGACGCUGAGGUGCGAAGGUGCGGGGAGCAAACAGGAUUAGAUACCCUGGUA
rnacentral:rRNA from 1 species